GAUUCCCUAGUACUGCGAGUGAAGCGGGAAAAGCUCAAAUUUAAAAUCCUUCGGGAGUUGUAAUCUAUAGAAGUGUUUUCGGUCGUUGCCUCGGACAAGUCUCUUGGAACAGAGCGUCAUAGAGGGUGAGAAUCCCGUCCUUGCCGAGCUCCCAACGUCUAUGUGAUACACUUUCAAAGAGUCGAGUUGUUUGGGAAUGCAGCUCAAAAUGGGUGGUAAACUCCAUCUAAAGCUAAAUAUUGGCGAGAGACCGAUAGCGAACAAGUACCGUGAGGGAAAGAUGAAAAGCACUUUGAAAAGAGAGUUAAACAGUACGUGAAAUUGUUGAAAGGGAAGCGCUUGAAGUCAGUCGCGUUGCAAGGACUCAGCCUCACGGUGUAUUUCUUUGCAACGGGUCAACAUCAGUUUCGACCGCGGGAAAAGGGCUUGAGGAAUGUGGCAACCUCGGUUGUGUUAUAGCCUCCUGUCGUACACCGCGGUCAGGACUGAGGUCUGCUUACAGGAUGUUGACGAAAUGGCUUUAAGCGACCCGUCUUGAAC
rnacentral:rRNA from 1 species